rnacentral:tRNA from 1 species
GUCGAGGUAAUCGACCGAGCCGGCCUUUCAAGCCGGAAACGCCAGUUCGAAUCUGGUCGGGACUGCCA